rnacentral:lncRNA from 10 species
UGAUAUAAUGGCAUAUCUUCAUUAAUAUUUGGUAGCAACUGGAUUGCCACAAAAACAUGUGAGGACCCUUUUUCUGUUGUAUUGUCAUUCUUUUACACCGGAAAAAUUACUCUGCUGUUUUCUAAGAGUCAAUCCUGGAGUGACGUGAGUAGCAGAAUGCCAAGUCUAUGAGUCACGUGAUAACUACUGGACAUGCACAUGAGAAUAUGACGAGGAUGGUGCCUUAGAAUGGGGAUUCUCAAUCUGAGGGUAACAAUGGGAACAAUUACCAUAUAACUAUUCAAGUGUUUAACUAGCCAGUAUUUUAAAAAAUACCUACUACAUCCUCAGCAUAGUCACUGAAGAAAACUAGGGAUCCAAGAAAAUCAUACCAUUUAAAAAUAAUUGGUAAG